GUGAACGCUGGCGGUAGGCCUAACACAUGCAAGUCGAACGGCAGCACCGUAAGAGCUUGCUCUUACGGGUGGCGAGUGGCGGACGGGUGAGGAAUACAUCGGAAUCUACUUUUUCGUGGGGGAUAACGUAGGGAAACUUACGCUAAUACCGCAUUCGACCUACGGGUGAAAGCAGGGGAUCUUCGGACCUUGCGCGAUUGAAUGAGCCGAUGUCGGAUUAGCUAGUUGGCGGGGUAAAGGCCCACCAAGGCGACGAUCCGUAGCUGGUCUGAGAGGAUGAUCAGCCACACUGGAACUGAGACACGGUCCAGACUCCUACGGGAGGCAGCAGUGGGGAAUAUUGGACAAUGGGCGCAAGCCUGAUCCAGCCAUACCGCGUGGGUGAAGAAGGCCUUCGGGUUGUAAAGCCCUUUUGUUGGGAAAGAAAAGCAGCAGGUUAAUACCCCGCUGUUCUGACGGUACCCAAAGAAUAAGCACCGGCUAACUUCGUG
rnacentral:rRNA from 1 species